UACAGAGGUCUCAAGCGUUUGUUCGGAUUCAUUGGGCGUAAAGGGUGUGUAGGUGGCGCCGUAAGUCGGGUGUGAAAUUUCGGAGCUUAACUCCGAAAUUGCAUUCGAUACUGCCGGUGCUCGAGGACUGGAGAGGAGACUGGAAUUCAUGGUGUAGCAGUGAAAUGCGUAGAGAUCAUGAGGAAGACCAGUGGCGAAGGCGGGUCCUGCA
rnacentral:rRNA from 1 species